UUGAACGCUGGCGGUAUGCUUAACACAUGCAAGUCGGACGGAAACGAUACUAGCUUGCUAGUAGGCGUCGAGUGGCGGACGGGUGAGUAACGCGUAGGAAUCUGCCUGAUAGUGGGGGAUAGCCCGAAGAAAUUCGGAUUAAUACCGCAUAAUCUAUUCGUAGUAAAGUGGGGGACUUUCGAGCCUCACGCUAUCAGAUGAGCCUGCGUAAGAUUAGCUUGUUGGUAGGGUAAAAGCCUACCAAGGCGACGAUCUUUAGCUGGUCUGAGAGGAUGAUCAGCCACAUCGGGACUGAGACACGGCCCGAACUCCUACGGGAGGCAGCAGUGGGGAAUAUUGGACAAUGGGGGCAACCCUGAUCCAGCAAUACCGCGUGUGUGAAGAAGGCCUGAGGGUUGUAAAGCACUUUCAAUUGUGAAGAAAAGUUAGCGGUUAAUAACCGUUAGCCUUGACGUUAACUUUAGAAGAAGCACCGGCUAACUCCGUGCCAGCAGCCGCGGUAAUACGGAGGGUGCAAGCGUUAAUCGGAAUUACUGGGCGUAAAGCGUGCGUAGGCGGUUUAUUAAGUCAGAUGUGAAAGCCCCGGGCUUAACCUGGGAACUGCAUUUGAAACUGGUCAACUAGAGUAUGGUAGAGGAAAGUGGAAUUUCUGGUGUAGCGGUGAAAUGCGUAGAUAUCAGAAGGAACAUCAAUGGCGAAGGCAGCUUUCUGGACCAAUACUGACGCUGAGGUACGAAAGCGUGGGUAGCAAACAGGAUUAGAUACCCUGGUAGUCCACGCCGUAAACGAUGAUAACUAGCCGUUGGGGGGAUUUACCCUUUAGUGGCGAAGCUAACGCGUUAAGUUAUCCGCCUGGGGAGUACGGCCGCAAGGUUAAAACUCAAAGGAAUUGACGGGGACCCGCACAAGCGGUGGAGCAUGUGGUUUAAUUCGAUGCAACGCGAAGAACCUUACCUGGUCUUGACAUCCUGCGAACUUUCUAGAAAUAGAUUGGUGCCUUCGGGAACGCAGUGACAGGUGCUGCAUGGCUGUCGUCAGCUCGUGUCGUGAGAUGUUGGGUUAAGUCCCGUAACGAGCGCAACCCCUAUCCUUAUUUGCCAGCACAUCAUGGUGGGAACUAUAAGGAGACUGCCGGUGAUAAACCGGAGGAAGGCGGGGACGACGUCAAGUCAUCAUGGCCCUUACGACCAGGGCUACACACGUGCUACAAUGGGAAGGACAAAGAGCCGCGAAGCCGCGAGGUGUAGCUAAUCUCAUAAACCUUUUCGUAGUCCGGAUUGGAGUCUGCAACUCGACUCCAUGAAGUCGGAAUCGCUAGUAAUCGUAGAUCAGAAUGCUACGGUGAAUACGUUCCCGGGUCUUGUACACACCGC
rnacentral:rRNA from 1 species